rnacentral:rRNA from 1 species
UACAGAGGGGGCAAGCGUUGUUCGGAAUUACUGGGCGUAAAGGGCGCGUAGGCGGCCCGCUAAGUCGAACGUGAAAUCCCUGGGCUUAACCCAGGAACUGCGUCCGAUACUGGCAGGCUUGAAUCCGGGAGAGGGAUGCGGAAUUCCAGGUGUAGCGGUGAAAUGCGUAGAUAUCUGGAGGAACACCGGUGGCGAAGGCGGCAUCCUGGACCGGCAUUGACGCUGAGGCGCGAAAGCCAGGGGAGCAAAGCGGGAUUAAGAA